GGGGGAUCUUGGUGCGUGACUGGGGAGACUGCAGGCCAGGGACCCCCGAAGGGCCACACAAUGUCAAUACACGUAAUAUCCCUUAAUGCAAAGGGUUUGAACGUCCCCAAAAAACGUAGACUUAUGUUCCGCGAAAUUAAACGCCUUAACGCCGACGUUGCUUACCUACAGGAGACUCAUCUACCCCGGGGCACUCAGGUAACCCUAAGAAACCACACCUACUGCACCAUUUACGAGGCAAGAGCGUUUCGGAAACGUAACGGAAUAGCCAUAGCAAUAAGCAACAGAUGCCCACUUCAGGUUACAAAGACUAUCUCAGACCCGGACCCGGUACCAUAUACUCCCAUACUAUACACCUGGUGAACAUGUAUGCCCACAACGACCCCGCAUCGACAUUCUGGGACACCCUGGCAACUCAGCUCGCUAGCCUCCCUCACGGAUCUUGAUCGUGGGAGGGGACCUAGAUGCAGCCCCGUGCCCAGCAAUAGACAGGAGCUCUGGGAGCAGCCGGCUCCGCUCUCAGGAAAGGGGGACGCACGACAGACUCCUCUGCAGCUUCAUACAACAGACAGGACUUAUUGACAUAUGGAGGGCACACCACCCAAGCACUAAGGACUACACAUUCCACUCCACCUCGCACAACACAUACUCAUGGAUCGAUAUGUUCCUGGUUAACGGAAUGACGGUACCCAAGGCGACUCACUCACACAUCGGCACCAUCACUUGGUCAGAGCAAGCAGACAUAGCCCUAACACUGACGAACCUCUGCGCGGCCACUCCUUGAAAUUGGAGGCUUAAUGCAGCACUCCUCAGAGACCUGACAGUAGUCGGACAGAUAAAGGAGGAGAUAAAAACCUAAUUUGCCCUGAACACUACAGACGACACCCCCCAGCUACCGUCUGGGCAGCCCAGAAGGCUGUAAUCAGAGGAGCCUUAGUGAAAGUGGCCACCCUUAAAAAAAACCCAGAAAAUACGUAAACUCGCUGACCAACUCACCACCCUACGCAGAGUGGAACAACAACACAAACAAAACCCUACACCAGAAAAACUACAGGAACUACAAGCAUGUCGGCUAAAGGUUAAGGAGACACUCCUAGAGGACACGGCCAGGUCACUCACUUGGACGAGGAGAACAUACUACGAUCGGGCAAACAAAAUGGACUCCCUGCUGGCCGGGGCGUUGAGACCCAAACAGAGACACACACAUAUCACUAAAAUCAAAGACAAGCUAGGGAACCUG